GACGAACGUUGGCGGCGUGCUUAACACAUGCAAGUCGAACGGAAAGGCCCUGCUUUUGUGGGGUGCUCGAGUGGCGAACGGGUGAGUAACACGUGAGUAACCUGCCCUUGACUUUGGGAUAACUUCAGGAAACUGGGGCUAAUACCGGAUAGGAGCUCCUGCUGCAUGGUGGGGGUUGGAAAGUUUCGGCGGUUGGGGAUGGACUCGCGGCUUAUCAGCUUGUUGGUGGGGUAGUGGCUUACCAAGGCUUUGACGGGUAGCCGGCCUGAGAGGGUGACCGGCCACAUUGGGACUGAGAUACGGCCCAGACUCCUACGGGAGGCAGCAGUGGGGAAUAUUGCACAAUGGGCGGAAGCCUGAUGCAGCAACGCCGCGUGCGGGAUGACGGCCUUCGGGUUGUAAACCGCUUUCGCCUGUGACGAAGCGUGAGUGACGGUAAUGGGUAAAGAAGCACCGGCUAACUACGUGCCAGCAGCCGCGGUGAUACGUAGGGUGCGAGCGUUGUCCGGAUUUAUUGGGCGUAAAGGGCUCGUAGGUGGUUGAUCGCGUCGGAAGUGUAAUCUUGGGGCUUAACCCUGAGCGUGCUUUCGAUACGGGUUGACUUGAGGAAGGUAGGGGAGAAUGGAAUUCCUGGUGGAGCGGUGGAAAUGCGCAGAUUUCAGGAGGAACACCAGUGGCGAAGGCGGUUCUCUGGGCCUUUCCUGACGCUGAGGAGCGAAAGCGUGGGGAGCGAACAGGCUUAGAUACCCUGGUAGUCCACGCUGUAAACGGUGGGUACUAGGUGUGGGGUCCAUUCCACGGGUUCCGCGCCGUAGCUAACGCUUUAAGUACCCCGCCUGGGGAGUACGGCCGCAAGGCUAAAACUCAAAGGAAUUGACGGGGCCCCGCACAAGCGGCGGAGCAUGCGGAUUAAUUCGAUGCAACGCGUAGAACCUUACCUGGGUUUGACAUGGAUCGGGAGUGCUCAGAGAUGGGUGUGCCUCUUUUGGGGUCGGUUCACAGGUGGUGCAUGGCUGUCGUCAGCUCGUGUCGUGAGAUGUUGGGUUAAGUCCCGCAACGAGCGCAACCCUUGUUCACUGUUGCCAGCACGUUAUGGUGGGGACUCAGUGGAGACCGCCGGGGUCAACUCGGAGGAAGGUGGGGAUGACGUCAAGUCAUCAUGCCCCUUAUGUCCAGGGCUUCACGCAUGCUACAAUGGCUGGUACAGAGAGUGGCGAGCCUGUGAGGGUGAGCGAAUCUCGGAAAGCCGGUCUCAGCUCGGAUUGGGGUCUGCAACUCGACCUCAUGAAGUCGGAGUCGCUAGUAAUCGCAGAUCAGCAACGCUGCGGUGAAUACGUUCCCGGG
rnacentral:rRNA from 1 species